rnacentral:rRNA from 1 species
UGGGGAAUAUUGGACAAUGGGCGCAAGCCUGAUCCAGCCAUGCCGCGUGUGUGAAGAAGGCCUUAGGGUUGUAAAGCACUUUCAGUGGGGAGGAAGGGUGUUGUGUUAAUAGCACAGCAUUUUGACGUUACCCACAGAAGAAGCACCGGCUAACUCCGUGCCAGCAGCCGCGGUAAUACGGAGGGUGCAAGCGUUAACCGGAAUUACUGGGCGUAAAGCACACGCAGGCGGCUUUUUAAGUCGGAUGUGAAAGCCCCGGGCUCAACCUGGGAAUUGCAUCUGAUACUGGGAAGCUAGAGUAUGUGAGAGGGGGGUAGAAUUCCAAGUGUAGCGGUGAAAUGCGUAGAGAUUUGGAGGAAUACCAGUGGCGAAGGCGGCCCCCUGGCACAAUACUGACGCUCAGGUGCGAAAGCGUGGGGAGCAAAACAGGAUUAGAUACCCUGGUAGUCCACGCCGUAAACGAUGUCUACUAGAUGUUCGUGGUCUUGUACCGUGAGUAUCGCAGCUAACGCAUCAAGUAGACCGCCUGGGGAGUACGGUCGCAAGAUUAAAACUCAAAGGAAUUGACGGGGGUCAUAGCUGUUUCC